rnacentral:rRNA from 1 species
AGUGAACGCUGGCGGUAGGCCUAACACAUGCAAGUCGAACGGCAGCACAGUAAGCGCUUGCUCUUACGGGUGGCGAGUGGCGGACGGGUGAGGAAUACAUCGGAAUCUACUUUUUCGUGGGGGAUAACGUAGGGAAACUUACGCUAAUACUGCAUACGACCUACGGGUGAAAGCAGGGGAUCUUCGGACCUUGCGCGAUUGAUUGAGCUGAUGUCGGAUUAGCUAGUUGGCGGGGGAAAGGCCCACCAAGGCGACGAUCCGUAGCUGGUCUGAGAGGAUGAUCAGACACACUGGAACUGAGACACGGUCCAGACACCUACGGGAGGCAGCAGUGGGGAAUAUUGGGCAAUGGGCGCAAGCCUGAUCCAGCCAUACCGCGUGGGUGAAGAAGGCCUUCGGGUUGUAAAGCCCUUUUGUUGGGAAAGAAAAGCAGCAGGUUAAUACGCCGCUAUUCUGACGGUACCCAAAGAAUAAGCACCGGCUAACUUCGUG